rnacentral:rRNA from 1 species
CAUUAGUGAAUAUAGGACGUCCAACUUAACUUGGAGUCCGAACUCUCACUUUCUAACCCUGUGCACUUGUUUGGGAUAGUAACUCUCGCAAGAGAGCGAACUCCUAUUCACUUAUAAACACAAAGUCUAUGAAUGUAUUAAAUUUUAUAACAAAAUAAAACUUUCAACAACGGAUCUCUUGGCUCUCGCAUCGAUGAAGAACGCAGCGAAAUGCGAUAAGUAAUGUGAAUUGCAGAAUUCAGUGAAUCAUCGAAUCUUUGAACGCACCUUGCGCUCCAUGGUAUUCCGUGGAGCAUGCCUGUUUGAGUGUCAUGAAUACUUCAACCCUCCUCUUUCUUAAUGAUUGAAGAGGUGUUUGGUUUCUGAGCGCUGCUGGCCUUUACGGUCUAGCUCGUUCGUAAUGCAUUAGCAUCCGCAAUCGAACUUCGGAUUGACUUGGCGUAAUAGACUAUUCGCUGAGGAAUUCUAGUCUUCGGAUUAGAGCCGGGUUGGGUUAAAGGAAGCUUCUAAUCAGAAUGUCUACAUUUUAAGAUUAGAUCUCAAAUCAGGUAGGACUACCCGCUGAACUUAAGCAUAUCAAUAAGCGGAGGAAAAGAAACUAACAAGGAUUCCCCUAGUAGCGGCGAGCGAAGCGGGAAGAGCUCAAAUUUAUAAUCUGGCACCUUCGGUGUCCGAGUUGUAAUCUCUAGAAAUGUUUUCCGCGUUGGACCGCACACAAGUCUGUUGGAAUACAGCGGCAUAGUGGUGAGACCCCCGUAUAUGGUGCGGACGCCCAGCGCUUUGUGAUACAUUUUCGAAGAGUCGAGUUGUUUGGGAAUGCAGCUCAAAUUGGGUGGUAAAUUCCAUCUAAAGCUAAAUAUUGGCGAGAGACCGAUAGCGAACAAGUACCGUGAGGGAAAGAUGAAAAGCACUUUGGAAAGAGAGUUAACAGUACGUGAAAUUGUUGGAAGGGAAACGCUUGAAGUCAGACUUGCUUGCCGAGCAAUCGGUUUGCAGGCCAGCAUCAGUUUUCCGGGAUGGAUAAUGGUAGAGAGAAGGUAGCAGUUUCGGCUGUGUUAUAGCUCUCUGCUGGAUACAUCUUGGGGGACUGAGGAACGCAGUGUGCCUUUGGCGGGGGUUUCGACCUCUUCACAC